rnacentral:rRNA from 1 species
GUGACCAGCGGAGGGAUCAUUACCGAGUUUACAACUCCCAAACCCAAUGUGAACGUUACCAAACUGUUGCCUCGGCGGGAUCUCUGCCCCGGGUGCGUCGCAGCCCCGGACCAAGGCGCCCGCCGGAGGACCAACCAAAACUCUUAUUGUAUACCCCCUCGCGGGUUUUUUUUAUAAUCUGAGCCUUCUCGGCGCCUCUCGUAGGCGUUUCGAAAAUGAAUCAAAACUUUCAACAACGGAUCUCUUGGUUCUGGCAUCGAUGAAGAACGCAGCGAAAUGCGAUAAGUAAUGUGAAUUGCAGAAUUCAGUGAAUCAUCGAAUCUUUGAACGCACAUUGCGCCCGCCAGUAUUCUGGCGGGCAUGCCUGUCCGAGCGUCAUUUCAACCCUCGAACCCCUCCGGGGGGUCGGCGUUGGGGAUCGGCCCUGCCUUGGCGGUGGCCGUCUCCGAAAUACAGUGGCGGUCUCGCCGCAGCCUCUCCUGCGCAGUAGUUUGCACACUCGCAUCGGGAGCGCGGCGCGUCCACAGCCGUUAAACACCCAACUUCUGAAUGUUGACCUCGGAUCAGGUAGGAAUACCCGCUGAACUUAAGCAUAUCAAUAAGCGGAGGA